rnacentral:rRNA from 1 species
UACGUAGGGGGCGAGCGUUGUCCGGAUUUAUUGGGCGUAAAGAGCUCGUAGGCGGUUUGGUAAGUUGGAUGUGAAAUCUCCAGGCUCAACUUGGAGGGGUCAUUCGAUACUGCCAUGACUAGAGUUCGGUAGGGGAGUGUGGAAUUCCUGGUGGAGCGGUGAAAUGCGCAGAUAUCAGGAGGCACACCCGUAGCGAAGGCGGCACUCUGGGCCGGAACUGACGCUGAGGAGCGAAAGCGUGGGGAGCGAACAGG